UGGAAGUAAAAAGUCGUAACAAGGUCUCCGUUGGUGAACCAGCGGAGGGAUCAUUACUGAGUUUACGCUCUAUAACCCUUUGUGAACAUACCUAUAACUGUUGCUUCGGCGGGUAGGGUCUCCGCGACCCUCCCGGCCUCCCGCCUCCGGGCGGGUCGGCGCCCGCCGGAGGAUAACCAAACUCUGAUUUAACGACGUUUCUUCUGAGUGGUACAAGCAAAUAAUCAAAACUUUUAACAACGGAUCUCUUGGUUCUGGCAUCGAUGAAGAACGCAGCGAAAUGCGAUAAGUAAUGUGAAUUGCAGAAUUCAGUGAAUCAUCGAAUCUUUGAACGCACAUUGCGCCCGCCAGCAUUCUGGCGGGCAUGCCUGUUCGAGCGUCAUUUCAACCCUCAAGCUCUGCUUGGUGUUGGGGCCCUACAGCUGAUGUAGGCCCUCAAAGGUAGUGGCGGACCCUCCCGGAGCCUCCUUUGCGUAGUAACUUUACGUCUCGCACUGGGAUCCGGAGGGACUCUUGCCGUAAAACCCCCCAAUUUUCCAAAGGUUGACCUCGGAUCAGGUAGGAAUACCCGCUGAACUUAAGCAUAUCAAUAAGCGGAGGAA
rnacentral:rRNA from 1 species